UACGUAGGGUCCGAGCGUUGUCCGGAAUUAUUGGGCGUAAAGGGCUCGUAGGCGGUUCGUCACGUCGGGAGUGAAAACUCGGGGCUUAACCCCGAGCCUGCUUCCGAUACGGGCAGACUAGAGGUAGGCAGGGGAGAGCGGAACUCCUGGUGUAGCGGUGAAAUGCGCAGAUAUCAGGAGGAACACCGGUGGCGAAGGCGGAUCUCUGGGCCUUGCCUGACGCUGAGGCGCGAAAGCUAGGGGAGCGAACAGG
rnacentral:rRNA from 1 species